AAUUUAAUUAUUUAUUUAUUACUUUUCAGAAAAAAUGGCGACUACUUCAAACAAUAGUGUUGCUGACAUGACAACAAUAAGCGAAAUAGACGAAGAUGGAAUAAACUAUAAUUUAAGACUUCGAUAUUCUAAAGAUAUAAUAUAUACAUACUCUGGAACGAUAUUAAUCGCAGUAAAUCCAUACAAAUGUAUUAAUAUUUUUAAUAAGGAUUAUGUUCAGCAAUACCACAUGGCCAAAAUGGGUUCAUUAGAUCCCCAUGUUUUUGCAUUAGCUGAAGCUGCCUAUAGAAGCAUUGUUGAAGAAAAAAUU